CAUGUUCUCAAUUAACCCAAAAAACUCAUUAAUAUCAAAGCUGAAUAUUUUUGGAAGUAGUUUUUAGUUUGUUUUUAGUUUUAGCUAUGUUAGGGGGAUAUCUGUGUGUGCAGGUGACUAUUACUGUGCAUAAUUAAUAGGCAACUUAACAAAAAACAAAUAUAUACCCAUUUCAAUUAUUUAUUAUUACCAGUGAAACCAAUAUAACAUCUCAACAUUCACAAAUAUACAUUUCUGACAUUCAAAAACAAAACAAAAACAAAUCAGUGACCAAUAUAGC